UACGGAGGAUCCAAGCGUUAUCCGGAAUCAUUGGGUUUAAAGGGUCCGUAGGCGGUUUAAUAAGUCAGUGGUGAAAGCCCAUCGCUCAACGGUGGAACGGCCAUUGAUACUGUUAGACUUGAAUUAUUAGGAAGUAACUAGAAUAUGUAGUGUAGCGGUGAAAUGCUUAGAUAUGACAUAGAACACCAAUUGCGAAGGCAGCUUACUACACAACGAUUGACGCUGAGGCACGAAAGCGUGGGGGAUCAAAACAGG
rnacentral:rRNA from 1 species